rnacentral:rRNA from 1 species
UGGCGCACGGGUGAGUAACACGUGACUAACCUACCCUCGAUGGGGAAUAACUGAGAGAAAUCUUAGCUAAUACCGCAUAACACUUACGAGUCAAAGCAGCAAUGCGCUUGGGGAGGAGGUCGCGGCCGAUUAGUUAGUUGGCGGGGUAAUGGCCCACCAAGACGAUGAUCGGUAUCCGGCCUGAGAGGGCGCACGGACACACUGGAACUGAAACACGGUCCAG